GACAGAGGUGCCAAGCGUUAGGCGGAAUCACUGGGCUUAAAGCGUGUGUAGGCGGGUCGUUAAGUACCUUGUGAAAUCUCCCGGCUCAACCGGGGAACGGCUGGGUAUACUGGCGAUCUUGAGCCACCUAGGGGCAGUCGGAACAAGUGGUGGAGCGGUGAAAUGCGUAGAUAUCAACUUGGAACGCCAAUGGUGAAAACAGACUGCUGGGGGUGUGCUGACGCUGAGAACACGGAAAGCCAGGGGAGCAAACGGG
rnacentral:rRNA from 1 species